rnacentral:rRNA from 1 species
UACGUAGGGUGCGAGCGUUGUCCGGAAUUACUGGGCGUAAAGAGCUCGUAGGUGGUUUGUCGCGUUGUUCGUGAAAACUCACGACUCAAUUGUGGGCGUGCGGGCGAUACGGGCAGACUGGAGUACUGCAGGGGAGACUGGAAUUCCUGGUGUAGCGGCGGAAUGCGCAGAUAUCAGGAGGAACACCGGUGGCGAAGGCGGGUCUCUGGGCAGUAACUGACGCUGAGGAGCGAAAGCGUGGGGAGCGAACAGG